rnacentral:lncRNA from 1 species
AUGCAUCAGGUGCACCCAUCAUGCAUCAGGUGCAUCGUACAUCCUGGAAACCCCACAUAAGGACAGAAACAUGCCCAUACCUCAUCUCUCCGUUAAAUUUUGCCCAUAAAGCCCAGUAUCCCAAACCCUCUUCAUCAACCCCAUCUCUGUUUCCUACUGACUCAUCCUAAAAUUCUUUUCUGUGGCGGAAGUGAAGAUGGAAGCUCCUCCGGGGCACAGGUCUCUGAGAACUCGGCAGGGUGCCCCGCCAGCAACAUCAGGUUACAGCUUCCACUGCUGAUGACACUACAAGCCAGCAACUGUCACCUUAGAUGUCCCAGAGGACUUUGGCAUGGCUGUGUCACAAAAGUAAGAUUUUGCUAUGUUAUUUAUGGUUGAUGCUGGGAAAACCAUACCUGCAGGCAAUCUCGACGUCACCAAUAACUAAGAUUAAUGAAUCACACCUCAAGAAUUCGAAGGCUACUCCCUAUGCUGUCCGGCUUUUCUCCUCAACUAGUUCCUGACCAGAAGUUCUCACAGCCCUACCAAUCCAGACCCAGUGCCUCCACAAGACCUGGCUGAUGUUCUGAGGGGUUGAAUGGGUGGAGGAAGGGCACUUUGCAUCAGUCUAAAUUAGAAUUUAAAAUAGUCAGAGAGAAAAAUACAGGCUGUCAAAAGUUAUCACGGAGGCAUAUCGCUUACAGAAAAUGUGAGAACAUGCAUGGAAGAUGCUCGACCACCCUCCCUCGAUAUUCACGCCAGUCACUGCCUCCUUGGCAAUAUUACACAUCUAUAACAACCAUCACAGCCCACUGGGAGAAGUGAUGUCACUCCCCUCCAUAACCUUGCUAACUCAGCAAAAACAGAAGUGGAACAAAGCAAGAAAAGCCCAGGCUACACAGAAGCCUUGUUAAUGGACAUGCCACUGUGACCUCUGAUGAGGGUGCCCAUGCAUUCUUCCCGUAAGCACUGAGCAGCUCUCUGUGGACAGCUGGGAAGCUGGGAACACGGGGCUCAAGUAAGGUUGGCCUUUUCCUCCUCCACUCCUGAGCCUAGAGGUGUGACUGGGCAUGGGGGGGGGGGGGGGUAGAAGGGGAGAAGACACAGAGAAAGUGAGAGAUUUCAACUGUGAGUUAACAAGUGAAUGUUACUCCUUAUACUCUUUGAAAUCCUUUUUGACAGUAUUGCUGGUUCAUUACCCCAUGCCUGUCCAUUUUCCUCUGGAGGAUGAAAAGGUAGAAACUGUCUGCUGCAGCCAGCCGAUCUCCAGCCAAGGACUCCCUGUUAAGACUGUGACCUUCUAAGCCCCACUGACAUUUCUUUCACUGCCUGGUGGAAAGUACUUUACUUAAAUCCUCUGGAAUCACUCAUCUCAACAACUACAGAUUUCCUCUCUGUACCAAGCCCCUUUCCUCCAGCCUUUAUGUGGCUUUGUUUCUGGGACAGUCACAUGUUUCUUAAACUCCGGAUGACAUGCCUAUUUAAGCUUCAUCAGGGGACUGAUCCCUGAGGUGGGUAACGGUUCACAUCUGGUGAAGGAGGUGUUCAGAAAAUAAAGAAUGUUGUUCUCC